AACGUCGUUAUCCCUUUGGCAUGUAGCAGCAUCAUGCGUGAGAUUAAACACAGAAAGAAGAGAGACAGAUAGAGGGAAGGAGAGGCAUGGACAGUGGGUUGUCAUGGGCCGACCAAUGGGAUACCACCCCGGACCCCCCGCUGCAGCCUCAACGUGAGGAAGGGAAGAAAGACAAAGAGCGGUCGUCGUCGUCGCGAUUCAAGAAGGUGAAGACCUUCAAAUGGAUCAAGGAGCUUUGUCAGAAGAAGUCUAACAAAUAGAAUUGGCAAAUGUUUUCUUUUGACCUUUCCUCUCAUCCUAUUAUUUGUUUUAAUGACAUAUUAUAUAGAUCACUGAUAUUACUCUCCCUCAUCAUAUCUAUGUGGUGUUCAUGGAAUGUAUUUCAUUAAAAUGUGCUUGAUAUUUAUUCUUAUCAGAUGAGAAAGUAUGGC
rnacentral:lncRNA from 1 species